rnacentral:tRNA from 1 species
UGAGGGACUGUGACUCAGUGGUAGUGCAUCUGCUUGGCAUGCAGAAGGUCCCAGGUUCAAUUCCUGGCAUUUUAA